rnacentral:lncRNA from 1 species
AUUUCUUGACAGGACACGCAGCACCUGUAUGAGUCUCUCUUUUUUUUUUUUUUUUUUUUCAAACUAUCAAAUGAAUGGUUGACACGUAUGCCAAUUUUUAAUAUUCAAUCAAUUUUUCCUAUUUGUGUAGCAAGCUUCCACUUGGGGCACUCGAGAACAACUCGAGCCUCAUCCGUCUCCAACCCUAUUUACGACUUUUGCCCCUCGAAUUUCACGCUAUAAGAAUACAUGAAAUAAAGUUGUCUCUUGUAAUGAAUACAGAACAUGUUCCUGUAGGUUUAACGUAGAAAUCCCGUUAUAUUUUUUUGCUGAUUAUAUGCCCCCUAUUUGGUGUUGAUUUUUCAGGUCAAAAAAAUCGUCUUUUUGACUUCUUCACUUACAGAUAAGAUCCAUCUUUUAAGCUAACGAUUAAAAAAUUGAUUUUCAAAAUCAACACCAAACAAGCUUUAUAUUGGGUAAUUAGUAGAAAAAGUACCUAUUGUCGGCAUUCAUUGCUAAAACAGUCCCCACCAUUUCAAAUUUGAUAUUUGCACCCUCAUUUUAAACAUUCCUUGCUAAAUUGUUCCAUUCUACCACGAUCCAUUAAUUUCACCGUGAAAUAAAAACAUGGAAUUCAUUCAUAUUAUUUGAAAAGGGUAAAUUAGUCAAGUUACUAUAUUUUUCCCUCUUUUCGGUGAAUAUUUAUUAAUGUUUAGUAAUGGUAAAUAAAUGUUUAUUCAAUUUCAAUAACUAAUGCAAAUUUAAUAUGAAAAUCCGUUAAAAAAAAUAUAGUGAAUCUUCAAAACCAA